CCUACGGGGGGCAGCAGUGGGGAAUAUUGCACAAUGGGGGAAACCCUGAUGCAGCGACGCCGCGUGAGCGAAGAAGUAUUUCGGUAUGUAAAGCUCUAUCAGCAGGGAAGAAAAAUGACGGUACCUGAGUAAGAAGCACCGGCUGAAUACGUGCCAGCAGCCGCGGUAAUACGUAGGGGGCAAGCGUUAUCCGGAUUUACUGGGUGUAAAGGGAGCGUAGACGGCAUGGCAAGUCUGAUGUGAAAACCCGGGGCUCACCCCCGGGACUGCAUUGGAAACUGUCAGGCUAGAGUGUCGGAGAGGCA
rnacentral:rRNA from 1 species